rnacentral:rRNA from 1 species
GAUGAACGCUGGCGGCGUGCCUAAUACAUGCAAGUAGAACGCUGAAGGAGGAGCUUGCUCUUCUGGAUGAGUUGCGAACGGGUGAGUAACGCGUAGGUAUCCUGCCUGGUAGCGGGGGAUAACUAUUGGAAACGAUAGCUAAUACCGCAUGACAACAGUUAUUGCAUGAUAACUGUUUAAAAGGGGCAACUGCUCCACUACCAGAUGGACCUGCGUUGUAUUAGCUAGUUGGUGAGGUAACGGCUCACCAAGGCGACGAUACAUAGCCGACCUGAGAGGGUGAUCGGCAACACUGGGACUGAGACACGGCCCAGACUCCUACGGGAGGCAGCAGUAGGGAAUCUUCGGCAAUGGACGGAAGUCUGACCGAGCAACGCCGCGUGAGUGAAGAAGGUUGUCGGAUCGUAAAGCUCUGUUGUAAGAGAAGAACGAGUGUGAGAGUGGAAAGUUCACACUGUGACGGUAGCUUACCAGAAAGGGGCGGCUAACUACGUG